UAGAACAACAUUUACAUAGCAAUUUAUAAUCCCUUUAGCUUAGGUUCUUUCUUAAUUUGUACUUCUUCAGAUUUAAAUUGCAAUGAUUAGUAUGCUGGUGCAGUUUCACCUCCGGGAGGAGACUUUUCAGAUCCUGUGAGUUCUGCAACCCUUAGUAUUGCGCAGGACCUCAAGUCGCAGCUGCAAGAGUUAAUUCAUUCCGAAACAGCAGUGAAUCUCUUUUUAUUUUCUAGUUCCCUCUUUCCUCGUAGAGAUUUUCCCAGUUUCAGGACCAUCUGAAGAAAGUCAGAACAUGGGAAGGUCCAACUGGUAAACAUCACUUGAUAUGGUAGAAACACUGAUGAUUUUGACCUUUUGGUCUGUUUAUUUGAUUUUACCCUUCCCCUUUGAAAUAGAGGUUAUUGGUGGGAUGAGAGGUAUGACUGGAUUGCUUUGGGAAACCUCAUUGCUUGACGUGGAUAUGUACUGAUAACUCUCUGUUUACUUGGUUAGAUCCUAGAUGAUCUUAAAUAUAUCAAUAGCUCAUCCUUCCCGUUCUAAGGCUGUUCUGGGAAGCCAACAUAUGACGAUUGCCUCAACCUGAUUGCUCGUGUUCCUGUUGUACAAGAAUGGUGAUUCCAAGACAACAAAAAACCUAUGUAAAGCUUGGAAAUGUUAUCAGUACAUACAGCCUUAUUCCUGUUCGUUUCUUUUGCUGAUUCACUAGAGUAUGUUUUCCCAUUAAAGCUUGGAAAUGUUAUCAGUACAAAAAACCUAUGUAAAGCUUGGAAAUGGUGAUUCACUAGAGUACUUU